rnacentral:rRNA from 1 species
AUUGAACGCUGGCGGCAGGCUUAACACAUGCAAGUCGAGCGAGCGGCGGACGGGUGAGUAAUGUCUGGGCAACAGCCUGAUGGAGGGGGAUAACUACUGGAAACGGUAGCUAAUACCGCAUACCAUCGGAUGUGCCCAGAUGGGAUUAGCUAGUAGGUGGGGUAACGGCGCACCUAGGCGACGAUCCCUAGCUGGUCUGAGAGGAUGACCGGCCACGCUGGAACUGAGACACGGUCCAGAGUCCUACGGGAGGCAGCAGUGGGGGAUAGUGCGCAAUGGGCGAAAGCCUGAGGCAGGGACGCCGCGUGGGUGAUGAGGGCUUACGGGUUGUAAACCUCUUUCGCUAGCGAGCGGGUAGGUGGAGAAGAAGCGCCGGCUAACUACGUGCCAGCAGCCGCGGUAAUAC